AGAUUGAACGCUGGCGGCGUGCCUAACACAUGCAAGUCGAGCGGUAACAGGUGUAGCAAUACAUGCUGACGAGCGGCGAACGGGUGAGUAAUGCUUUGGAAUCUUCCCAGUAGUGGGGAAUAACCAGUCGAAAGAUUGGCUAAUACCGCAUACGUCUGUAAAGGGAAAGCGGGGGCUCGUAAGACCUCGCGCUAUUGGAUGAGCCAAAGUCGGAUUAGCUAGUUGGUGGGGUAAUGGCCUACCAAGGCGACAAUCCGUAGCUGGUCUGAGAGGACGACCAGCCACACCGGAACUGAGACACGGUCCGGACUCCUACGGGAGGCAGCAGUGGGGAAUAUUGGACAAUGGGGGAAACCCUGAUCCAGCGACGCCGCGUGUGUGAAGAAGGCCUGCGGGUUGUAAAGCACUUUUAGUGGGGACAAAAGCUACGGACUAACACUCUGUGGUCUUGAUUUAACCCAAGAAAAGCACCGGCUAACUCUGCGCCAGCAGCCGCGGUAA
rnacentral:rRNA from 1 species